GUGUUGUAUGAAAGGAGAGAAGGUGACCAGGAUGAAGACAAGGAUGGACGAGGCCCUUGGGUCUCGUGACACGCACGUGGUUAAGGCACUGGCCCCUACUUGUGGCAUCUGAACACUUUUC
rnacentral:ncRNA from 1 species